UACAGAGGGUGCAAGCGUUAAUCGGAUUUACUGGGCGUAAAGCACGCGUAGGUGGCCAAUUAAGUCAAAUGUGAAAUCCCCGAGCUUAACUUGGGAAUUGCAUUCGAUACUGGUUGGCUAGAGUAUGGGAGAGGAUGGUAGAAUUCCAAGUGUAGCGGUGAAAUGCGUAGAGAUCUGGAGGAAUACCGAUGGCGAAGGCAGCCAUCUGGCCUAAUACUGACACUGAGGUGCGAAAGCAUGGGGAGCAAACAGG
rnacentral:rRNA from 1 species